CCUACGGGGAGCAGCAGUGAGGAAUAUUGGUCAAUGGACGAGAGUCUGAACCAGCCAAGUAGCGUGAAGGAUGACUGCCCUAUGGGUUGUAAACUUCUUUUAUAAAGGAAUAAAACGAGGCACGUGGGCCUUUUUGCAUGUCCUUUAUGAAUCAGGAUCGGCUAACUCCGUACCAGCAGCCGCGGUAAUACGGAGGAUCCUAGCGUUAUCCGGAUUUAUUGGGUUGAAAGGGUGCGCAGGCGGAGGCACAAGUCAGCGGUAAAAUCGCGGGGCUAAACCCCGCUACGCAGUUGACACUGUGUCCCUUGAGUGCGCGAAGGGUAGGCGGAAUGCGUGGUGUAGCGGUGAAAUGCAUAGAGAUCACGCAGAACUCCGAUCGCGAAGGCAGCCUACCGGCGCGCAACUGACGCUCAUGCACGAAAGCGUGGGUAUCGAACAGGAUUAGAUACCCGAGUAGUC
rnacentral:rRNA from 1 species